rnacentral:rRNA from 1 species
UACGUAGGGGGCAAGCGUUGUCCGGAAUCAUUGGGCGUAAAGAGCGUGUAGGCGGCCCGAUAAGUCCGCUGUGAAAGUCCAGGGCUCAACCCUGGGAUGCCGGUGGAUACUGUCGGGCUCGAGUCCGGAAGAGGAGUGUGGAAUUCCUGGUGUGGCGGUGAAAUGCGCAGAUAUCAGGAGGAACACCAGCGGCGAAGGCGGUGCUCUGGGCCGGAACUGACGCUGAGGAGCGAAAGCGUGGGGAGCGAACAGG